GCCGCCGAAAAAAAAUGCAGUCGAGCGGAUGAAGGGAGCUUGCUCCUGGAUAUCAGCGGCGGACGGGUGAGUAAUGCCUAGGAAUCUGCCUGGUAGUGGGGGACAACGUUUCGAAAGGAACGCUAAUACCGCACACGUCCUACGGGAGAAAGCAGGGGACCUUCGGGCCUUGCGCUAUCAGAUGAGCCUAGGUCGGAUUAGCUAGUUGGUGAGGUAAUGGCUCACCAAGGCGACCAUCCGUAACUGGUCUGAGAGGAUGAUCAGUCACACUGGAACUGAGACACGGUCCAGACUCCUACGGGAGGCAGCAGUGGGGAAUAUUGGACAAUGGGCGAAAGCCUGAUCCAGCCAUGCCGCGUGUGUGAAGAAGGUCUUCGGAUUGUAAAGCACUUUAAGUUGGGAGGAAGGGUUGUAGAUUAAUACUCUGCAAUUUUGACGUUACCGACRGAAUAAGCACCGGCUAACUCUGUGCCAGCAGCCGCGGUAAUACAGAGGGUGCAAGCGUUAAUCGGAAUUACUGGGCGUAAAGCGCGCGUAGGUGGUUCGUUAAGUUGGAUGUGAAAUCCCCGGGCUCAACCUGGGAACUGCAUCCAAAACUGGCGAGCUAGAGUAUGGUAGAGGGUGGUGGAAUUUCCUGUGUAGCGGUGAAAUGCGUAGAUAUAGGAAGGAACACCAGUGGCGAAGGCGACCACCUGGACUGAUACUGACACUGAGGUGCGAAAGCGUGGGGGAGCAAACAGGAUUAGAUACCCUGGUAGUCCACGCCGUAAACGAUGUCAACUAGCCGUUGGGAGCCUUGAGCUCUAAGUGGCGCAGCUAACG
rnacentral:rRNA from 1 species